AAUAAGCGGAGGAAAAGAAACCAACAGGGAUUGCCUCAGUAGCGGCGAGUGAAGCGGCAAAAGCUCAAAUUUGAAAUCUGGCGUCUUUGGCGUCCGAGUUGUAAUUUGAAGAAGGUAUCUUUGGGCCCGGCUCUUGUCUAUGUUCCUUGGAACAGGACGUCACAGAGGGUGAGAAUCCCGUGCGAUGAGAUGACCCGGGUCUGUGUAAAGUUCCUUCGACGAGUCGAGUUGUUUGGGAAUGCAGCUCUAAGUGGGUGGUAAAUUCCAUCUAAAGCUAAAUAUUGGCGAGAGACCGAUAGCGAACAAGUACAGUGAUGGAAAGAUGAAAAGAACUUUGAAAAGAGAGUGAAAAAGUACGUGAAAUUGUUGAAAGGGAAGGGCUUGAGAUCAGACUUGGUAUUUUGCAUGYUGCUCUCUCGGGGGCGGCCGCUGCGGUUUACCGGGCCAGCAUCGGUUUGGAGCGGCAGGAUAAUGGCGGAGGAAUGUGGCACGGCUUCUGCUGUGUGUUAUAGCCUCUGACGAURCUGCCAGCCUAGACCGAGGACUGCGGUUUUUAACCUAGGA
rnacentral:rRNA from 1 species